UACGGGGGGGGCAAGCGUUGUUCGGAAUUACUGGGCGUAAAGGGCGUGUAGGCGGCCAACUAAGUCCGACGUGAAAUCCCCAGGCUUAACCUGGGAACUGCGUCGGAUACUGGAUGGCUUGAAUCCGGGAGAGGGAUGCAGAAUUCCAGGUGUAGCGGUGAAAUGCGUAGAUAUCUGGAGGAACACCGGUGGCGAAGGCGGCAUCCUGGACCGGUAUUGACGCUGAGGCGCGAAAGCUAGGGGAGCAAACGGG
rnacentral:rRNA from 1 species